rnacentral:rRNA from 1 species
AUGAUAUCUGGGCCUAAAAAUCUAGAUCAGGACUACUUAUUUUCUGCAUACAAUGUUCACACUGAGGAGUCUGAUUCUAAUGAACGAUACCUUGAAGGAGGACAAGUUGGAGCAGUUGAACACGGAAUUAGGAGUUUUUGUGAAGACACUUCUGUUCAAAUGUUAAGGCCAGUUGUUGGUAUGAAGUUUUCAUCAAAGGCAGAAGCAUAUGACUUCUACAAUACUUAUUCUUGGGUGCUUGGUUUCAGUAUUAGAAAUGGUGAUAAUUUUAUUAAUUCCAAAGGCGUACAAACUAUGCAGGAAUUCAUUUGCCAACGAGCCGGAAUCAACAAGACUACUAAAUAUGCCACUACUAGAUGUGGUUGCAAGGCAACACUCAAGGUAAAUCUUAAUGAUAAUUCAGAAUGGUAUGUCAAAGUUUUUAGGGAGGAACACAAUCAUCCCCUUGUGGAAUCUUGCAGUGAGAAAAAGCACCUGCAUUCACAUCAACAUAUUGACAAGCCAAUCAGAUAUUUAAUAAAGAAUCUUCGGGAGAAUAAUGUAUCACUCACAAGGGUUAAUUCUAUAGUAGCAGGUUUCUAUGGCUCAACCAAGAAAGUACCAUUCUGUAAGCGCAAGUUGCGUACUGUUUGUUCACAGAUUGCAAGUGAAACCCUUCAGGACGACAUUGCUAAGACACUGGAGAAUUUCCGUGAUAUGAUAGCAAUGGACGAUAGAUUUUCUUUCUGUGCACAGGUGGAUGAUGACAACAGGCUAAAGUCACUAAUGUGGACUACUGAGAGGAGUAGAUAA